CGGGUCAGUGUUAGAGCCCUCCCCUACUCUGUAAUUCUUCAAUUACUGCCAUAAAUUAGAUGGGGUGGGGCUUAGCAGCAGGACUCACAGUGGGGUGUGGAUUGUUGUGGGCGGAUUGAUGUCACAACCCUCCCAUAUUCAGCAAUCCUCCAAUUACUGCAGAACAUCAUAUGGGGCGGAGUCAGUUACAGGACUCACAAUGGGGUGGGGACUGAUGUGGGGGACUGGCAUGUCCUGCUCGAUUCUCUCUGCCCUUCUCCUUCACCAAAGCUCUGACUCUUGAAAAGUUCACCCCAGGGUCCAGGUUUUUGGUUUCAUUCCGACAGAUCAGAUGAUUUUCUCGACUAUUUCUGGAAUCUUUUACCGAAAAAACCUCAGGCCGUUUAUCAGAGAGGUGCCAUAUUCGCGGUCCUGGAGGGACAUAAGUGACACUUUCAGCGGAACAAAAGCCUGAGAUGGACCGGCCGAAUCGGAGCUCUCUCUUUGGAUUGACUCCUCUUUCCUAGG